rnacentral:rRNA from 1 species
AGAGUUUGAUCCUGGCUCAGGAUGAACGCUGGCGGCGUGCUUAACACAUGCAAGUCGAACGAACCUUCGGGUUAGUGGCGGACGGGUGAGUAACGCGUGAGAAUCUGCCCUCAGGAGGGGGAUAACGGCUGGAAACGGCCGCUAAUACCCCAUAUGCCGAGAGGUGAAAUGAAUUUCGCCUGAGGAUGAGCUCGCGUCUGAUUAGCUAGUUGGUGGGGUAAGAGCCUACCAAGGCUUCGAUCAGUAGCUGGUCUGAGAGGAUGAUCAGCCACACUGGGACUGAGACACGGCCCAGACUCCUACGGGAGGCAGCAGUGGGGAAUUUUCCGCAAUGGGCGAAAGCCUGACGGAGCAACGCCGCGUGAGGGAUGAAGGCCUCUGGGCUGUAAACCUCUUUCCUCAAGGAAGAAGAUCUGACGGUACUUGAGGAAUAAGCCACGGCUAAUUCCGUGCCAGCAGCCGCGGUAAUACGGGAGUGGCAAGCGUUAUCCGGAAUUAUUGGGCGUAAAGCGUCCGCAGGCGGCCUUGAAAGUCUGCUGUUAAAGCGCGGAGCUUAACUCCAUUUCAGCAGUGGAAACUACAAGGCUAGAGUGUGGUAGGGGCAGAGGGAAUUCCCGGUGUAGCGGUGAAAUGCGUAGAUAUCGGGAAGAACACCAGUGGCGAAGGCGCUCUGCUGGGCCAUAACUGACGCUCAUGGACGAAAGCCAGGGGAGCGAAAGGGAUUAGAUACCCCUGUAGUCCUGGCCGUAAACGAUGAACACUAGGUGUCGGGGGAAUCGACCCCUCCGGUGUCGUAGCCAACGCGUUAAGUGUUCCGCCUGGGGAGUACGCACGCAAGUGUGAAACUCAAAGGAAUUGACGGGGGCCCGCACAAGCGGUGGAGUAUGUGGUCUAAUUCGAUGCAACGCGAAGAACCUUACCAGGGUUUGACAUCCUGCGAAUCCCUUGGAAACGAGGGAGUGCCUUCGGGAGCGCAGUGACAGGUGGUGCAUGGCUGUCGUCAGCUCGUGUCGUGAGAUGUUGGGUUAAGUCCCGCAACGAGCGCAACCCACGUCUUUAGUUGCCAGCAUUGAGUUGGGCACUCUAGAGAGACCGCCGGUGAUAAACCGGGGGAAGGUGUGGAUGACGUCAAGUCAUCAUGCCCCUUACAUCCUGGGCUUCACACGUACUACAAUGCUACGGACAAAGGGCAGCAAACUCGCGAGAGCUAGCAAAUCCCAUAAACCGUGGCUCAGUUCAGAUCGUAGGCUGCAACUCGCCUACGUGAAGGAGGAAUCGCUAGUAAUCGCAGGUCAGCAUACUGCGGUGAAUACGUUCCCGGGCCUUGUACACACCGCCCGUCACACCAUGGAAGUUGGCCACGCCCGAAGUCGUUACUCCAACCCGCAAGGGAGGAGGAUGCCGAAGGUGGGGCUGAUGACUGGGGUGAAGUCGUAACAUGGUA